rnacentral:rRNA from 1 species
AAACCAGCACCUCAAGUGGUCAGGAUGAUUAUUGGGCCUAAAGCAUCCGUAGCCUGCUCUGUAAGUUUUCGGUUAAAUCUGUACGCUCAACGUACAGGCUGUCGGGAAUACUGCAGAGCUAGGGAGUGAGAGAGGUAGACGGUACUCGGGAGGAAGUGGUAAAAUGCUUUGAUCUCUCGAUGACCACCUGUGGCGAAGGCGGUCUACCAGAACACGUCCGACGGUGAGGGAUGAAAGCUGGGGGAGCAAACCGAAUUAGAAACCCGAGUAGUCC